CUAGCGGUAAGAGCAUGCGACUUUCAAUCCGGAGGUCGCGGGUGCAAACCCCGGCUCGUACCAAUGAGUUUUUCGGAACUUAUGUACGAAAUAUCAUUUGAUAUUUACCAGUCGCUUUUCGGUGAAGGAAAACAUCCGCUGGUGGCCUAGCGGUAAGAGUGUGCGACUUGCAAUCCGGAGGUCGCGGGUUCAAACCCCGGCUCGUACCAAUGAGUUUUUCGAAACUUAUGUACGAAAUAUCAUUUGAUAUUUUACCAGUCGCUUUUCGGUGAAGGAAAAUAUCGUGAGGAAACCGGACUAAUCCCAAUAAGACCUAGUUUCCCCUCUGGGUUGGAAGGUCAGAUGUCAGUCGCUUUCGUAAAAACUAGUGUCUACGUCAAUUCUUGGGAUUAAUUGUCUAGCGGACCCCAGGCUCCCUUGAGCCGUGGCAAAAUGCCGGGAUAACGCGAGGAAGA